rnacentral:lncRNA from 1 species
CCGGCGUAAAACACCAAUGCUUUCUUAAUUCCCAUUGGCUUCGGAUGUCCAAUCGGCUUAUCGGCACCAGUCGCUUUCCAAUAACCAGUUCCAGCAGCUCGAUUUGGGCGUGAACCGUUCGGAUACUUUCGGUCUCGAGGUGAAAAGAAGUACCAUUCUUUCUCCCCAUACAAUGCCAAAUCUGAAACAGAAAUACCAAAAUUUUGGUUAAUUCAAAAAUUCAACUUCAAAAUUUUGAACUGUUUUAUUAUACAAACAAAGGUGAAGGAGAAAAUUACUUACGAGGAAGAUCCCAAGGGUCAUACUUGUAGAGGUCAAUUUCAGCAAUAAUUGGUACGGCAAUUGUCUGGGAGGCGCAUUUUCGGCAUAGAUAGUGCAUCACAAGCUCUUCAUCAGUUGGGUGAAAUCUGAAACCUGGAGGUAAUUGCAACUCUGCUGCUGUCAUUUUUUUGAUUUUUUUUUUCCCAAUCAAUUUACUCUCCCUUUUUUCUCUUUUUUUUUUUAAGUUUUUUUUUUUUUUUUGGGGGGGAUGUCUAAAUACAGAGUAUGAGGGAAAAUAGAAUAGGAAAAUACUUUGAAGGUUGAAACUUCGGACACAAGGGAGAGAAGCGAAUAUAUAGAGAUUGUAGAAGGGACACGUGGCAAAGAUAAGCCUAGAGAUCUAGAAAAAAUGUGUUAAAAUAAUCAGAAAAUAUGAAAAAAUAAAAUGUAAAUAAAGUGAUGGACACGUAUGCAAGAAUUGAGUUGGGUGGAAUGCGACAGUAGGUAUCGCUGACCAUAGUAAGAGGGGUGGGGGGUGGGUGCAUUUGGUCACUGCUUACGCACGGAUUUUUGGACAGGAGUGCCAAAUAGACUAGGUGGCUCGGUGGGUUCCUGGAAAUUUCUGGUUCGGUUUUGGGUCAGUUUUUUGGAGCGGCACUGGACACGUAUGUCAGGUCGAUGCACCUUGGUUAUUUGGCAGCGUCACUUUGACAAAAUUGCGGGCCUUCUUUUUAUUGUAUAUACUAUUUUAUUAAAUAAAAUAUAUUAAAUAGAAAAGAGAUGUGGAACUUUUUGAAGUGAGGUGGGGGGUUGGUUUGUCCUUUGGCAGUUACAAUUGAAUCACUUUUCUAGGAGAUCAGCAAUGUGUCACUAAUAUAGUGAAAACCACGGCAAGUAGUGCCACGUAUACUAUGAUGAAUUUUAGCUUGAAAAAAAAGAAAUAAAUGAAUAUAUUGAUUUGGCUAAUAAAUUCAAAAAAAUUACGGCUAAGAGCAGUAAUUACUGUUUGAUCAAAUUUUUUGAAAUAUAUUUUUUCAAAAAUAUUUUUUUAAAAUUGUUUUUGAAAAUAAAUUACUUUUUUAAACUUCUUCAAAAUUAUUUUUAUUUUUAUUCAAAAAUACUUAUUUUUCUUUUAAGAACUUGACCAACCUUUAAUUUUGAGAAAAAAAUAUCUUUUUGAAGAAAAAAGUACUUUUACUCUCGAAGAAGUUUGGCUAAAAAGGCUAUAAAAUUAAAAUCAGGCUCAAGAAGUUUAUGUUAUGAAUAGAAUUUUAUUUAGAGUGAAUGUCUAUUUUGUAAAGAGUUUUAUUUUGUGGCAAAUUCAUUUUUCCCUAUAAAUAAAGGGACCUUAUCACAUAGUAAAUCAUCCCAUAUCAAUAAGAAUUCUCUCUCCCUAGGCUUUCUUUGCAAUUAUGUUCUUCUUGUUUUAUUAUUUCAUAACACGUUAUCAGCACGAGACUCUAACCAAUUUAGUAGAACCUUUGGGAUUGAGCAUAAUGAUUGUCAAUUGUUCUAUGAAUUCCUUCACGAUUAAAUUUUUGAUUUAAGGUAAAUAUUUUACCGUAUUUUCCUCUUUUAUUCUAUGAUUUUAUAUACAAGCAAAGACAAGAAAGUUUGAUUAUAACUCUAAUAGAGUUUGAAAGAAAUUAUAACAAUCCAAAGUGGUAAAAUUUCUAUACAUUGCCAUGAUCAAAUUCAUAUAUGAUUGUGGGCAAAGAAUUGAAAACUCGCCUCAUUAAAUUUGCUCUAUUCUCAUUCCCUUUAGAGAAUGUGAUAGCAGUAUGUGAUAAGUUUGAAAGAAGAAAAUUAUUACUAUGAACGUAUUAAUGGAUGGGGACGUGGUAAUAUACAAAAUUAUAAUCGUCAUCAUUGUGGUAAUAAGAACAAUAUGGAUUUUCUAAAUAAUUUUUCACUUUGUGAAAGUAUUAUUUGUCAUCGAUUUGACAUGAGAUAUUAUAAAGCACAUAUAGAUGAUUAUAGUCUAUUCAUGAUGUGAAUGUGACAACAUCUAAUUUAUGAAUACAUAUUCAUUCUUGGGAGAAUAUGAACGUGCUAGUGGUAGUGAAUAUACCACACUCACCUCUAGAAGGAGGUUUGAGUUGAUAUAAGAAAAUAAUGUCAUUAUUAUUGCAUGAAUGAUCAUUGGUCACGUACCUAUUAGUGAAUAUAUCACACUCACCUCUAGAUGGAGGUUUCGGAUGAAAUAAGAAAAUAAUGUCAUUAUUAUGGCAUGAAUGAUCACUGGUCACGUACUUAUUGUACGCCAAAAUAUUAUGGCAAUGUGAUUAAUAAAAGACAAUGGUAAUGCAAGAAACAGAUCUUGCAUAUAAUUUGAUCAUGACCACAAUGGUAUAACUUCUUCUUUAAAAAAAGAUAUUCAUCACAUGGAUGUUGAUGAAUCUGUGGUAGUACCAAAUUAAUUGAGAACUCUGCAAGAGUCAGUUAUACUAUUUUGGAGAAACACAAUUGAUUGCCAAUAAGAUAUUGUAUUGUAGUAAGUCUCAAAGAAACUUAUUGAGUUUCCAAAGUACGCGCGUAAACGGUUAAUUAUAUUGAGACUAUAAAUAAAGGAAAUAUUUAAUAUCUUCUGUUAUUACAACUUGUAGCGGGGUAAUAUAUAUGUAAAAAAUUAUCCGCUUUAUUCUUCAGUUUGUACUAUACAAAUAAAAGAAUACCACAAUAAAGUAGAUGUUUAUUGAUAUAAAAACCUAUAUCAUAAUAAACUUGGGGUUUACUGAUAAUUGCACACGUCAUGGUGUAAAUAUGAACUUAUUAAUAUUGAUAAUAUAUUCAGUUGUCACAAUCAGUUUAGCCAUAUCAAUUAAGUAUAAUGUGCAAAAUAAUAGAGAAUUCACAUGGGUAAAUAUUAAAGAACUAGAAAAUUCUUUACGAAUUCUCUUAUAUUACUUGUUCUCAUUAAUUAAUUGAUCAACUGAAAUUGAAAUUGAAUCCCAUGAAUGCUGGAAAUAUCAAAGGUGAAUCUGGGCACAUUCACCUGCCAUGUAUAACACAUAAGAUGCAUCUUGAGAUAGUUACAUAUGCGAUUAUUAUUAACUUGGAACAUGGUAUUUGCGAGGUAACUUGCUCAAUAAUUUGAUUUAGAGCAUAAUUUUCAUAUUUUUUUAUUCAAUGUAGUUCAUCUUGAUAAGUUGGUUUAUAUCACAGUUGGUUUAGCAAAAUAAUUUAUUAAGUUCCUCCACUUAAUAGCUAAAUAAUUGCUUAUGAGAACAAAGUUAUCUAUAUCAAUUCAAUAUACGUUAUAUACGAAAGUAUAUUAUUUUCUCCCCUCACAAGUGGUUCAGGGUCAGGAACCAAAUGAUUCUAUCUUAUUAUUAUUAUUGAUGUGGGAUGUAUAUUUAUUAACACUAUAACACACAAAGAUGGAUUCUCAAAGUUGAGGAAACAAGUUAGUUUUUCUAACAUGAAGGGGAGACAAGAUACAAUAAUUGAGAAAAAAGUUACAUGGAAUGAAUUUUUAUUUAUAAUAUAGAUCCUCGAAUAGGAUAAUAUGAAUUUAAAGUUCAUAAAAGAUAAUUCAUUUGCGAUAUAUUGCAAAGCAUGCCAGACGCAUUUGCUAACCCAAAGAAAUCAACUAUACUCUCAUUGCAAAUGCUCCUAUUAAGUGCUAGAAGGACAAAGUCUAUGGUAUGCUUAAAGCGUAUAGAGAAAUCGGUUUCAAAUAAAACUUCUUGAUAAAGAAGAUGAACAAAUGAUCAAACUGAUCAUAAUAAGGAGGCAAGUGAUCUAGAAGAUCACAUGACAUAACACUUGAUAAAAUCUCAUGAGAGAUUUAGGUACCUCAAUAUAUGAAUGAAGAGAUUUCUAUGUUAUGUCUUUAUGGAAAAUAAAUCUCACGAGAGAUUCAGGUACCUGCAUAUAUGAAUGAAGAGAUCUCUAUGUUAUGUCUUUAUGAAAAAUAAGGAGUUGUUAUGUCUUUAUGAAAAAGGAGGUUGGAACUGAUUUAAAAUGUUUGUCGACGACAUUGAUUAUAGCGCUACAUAUAUAUAUGAGGAUCUUAAGUCUGGAGAAACAUUCAAAUGAAAUUUGGUUUCAUAUGAAAGACAAGUAGUUUUGGACCUGUAGUUCAAAUACUUAAAAGUAUAAAGACAAUAGUGUGUGUUAUCACCUUUAUGUAUCUUAUAUGUUUGGCAUGACAUGAAAACUUGAUACAAAUCUAAAGUCUAUUUAUAUGGCUUAUAUGACUUAACUNNNNNNNNNNNNNNNNNNNNNNNNNNNNNNNNNNNNNNNNNNNNNNNNNNNNNNNNNNNNNNNNNNNNNNNNNNNNNNNNNNNNNNNNNNNNNNNNNNNNNNNNNNUAAUUCUUGAUCUUGAAGUACCACUUCCUCAGUGCAAUUUGUGCACAAAUGUAUCUUGCUAUAACUAUAAGCAUGAUAAUAUAAUAGCAAGAGUUUUCACCUCUUUGUGAAAGUUAUUGAAAUGACGAUUCAACAAGAUCAUAUGAAGACAAUACAUCUAUUAUGAAUGAUGAUUUCAAGGUGUAACAAAUUCGUCUAAGAGAUCUUUUGAAGAUGGUGCACAAGAUUGGAAUGCAAAUGCUUGAAGAUGUGAAUUGAUGCUCUGAUCAGGGAGAAUUGAUGCGCGUUGCACUCUUUUUCCGUUACAAGGUUUUGUACUACUGGGUUUUCCUUGCAAGGCUUUUAACGAGGCAACCAAAAGGCAUAUUAUUAAAUAUGUGUACUCUUUUUCCUUCUCUAGAAUUUUUUCCCAUUGGGUUUUAUUUUAGUUAAGAUUUUAACGAGGCACAUUAUUUAUUGAGUAGACAUUCAAGGGAGGAUGUUAUGAAUAGAAUUCUAUUUAGAGAGAAUACCUAUCUUGUAGAGAGUUUUACUUUGUGGCUAAGUCAUUUUUCCCUAUAAAUGAAGGGGUCUUACCCCAUUGUAAAUUAUCCCAUAUCGAUAAAAAAUUGCUCUCCCUAGGUUUUCUUUGUAGUCAUAUUUUUCUUCUUUUAUUGUUUUAUAACAAUGUAGUUCUUAUUAUAAUCUCAAAACAAUAUAUAAAAUAAUAAUU